AAGACUGUGCUUCACAGGAUCAUUUCUGUAGGCAAGUUUUCAUCACAAGUUUUUUCCCACCGGAAAAGAUUUCCCACCCACGAUGAUGAUCUGAAGUGUCUAGCCUGGAGCGUGAAAAUCGUCGGUGAUUUGGUCUUGGCCGUUUAUUCUGGCUAGAUCGCACCGGCUUUGAAGAUCGGCUCUCUCUGCAAUGGCUUGGACGCAUUCUGAGUGGU